UGGGGAAUAUUGCACAAUGGACGGAAGUCUGAUGCAGCGACGCCGCGUGGGGGAUGAAGGCUUUCGGGUUGUAAACUCCUUUCAGUACAGAAGAAGCUUUAUUGUGAGGGUAUGUGCAGAAGAAGGGCCGGCAACCAACGUGCCAGCAGCCGCGGUAAUACGUAGGGCGCGAGCGUUGUCCGGAAUUAUUGGGCGUAAAGAGCUCGUAGGCGGUUUGUCGCGUCUGCUGUGAAAGACCGGGGCUUAACUCCGGGGCUGCAGUGGGUACGGGCAGGCUGGAGUGCGGUAGGGGUAACCGGAAUUCCUGGUGUAGCGGUGGAAUGCGCAGAUAUCAGGAGGAACACCGAUGGCGAAGGCAGGUUACUGGGCCGUUACUGACGCUGAGGAGCGAAAGCAUGGGGAGCGAACAGG
rnacentral:rRNA from 1 species